GCGCCCUGGCUGCCCCCUGGUGGCCGGAGGCCGUUACUGUCGCGGCUGAGGGGGCGUCCCGGUGUAUCCGCAGCGCGCCCUGUCCCGCCAUAUACAUUCCGUGCUUUUCAAACACCCGCCGUGGGCUAAGCAUGGGACCCACGUGGGGCGGGGACACACGGCGAUAAAGAGCCAGGCCCUCGCUGCCAAGGAGCUUUCCCGUAACACCGAUGCAUCAAACAAAAGAUAUUAAAGACAUUGGCGGUAACACUGGAAUGGAUGUGAAGAUGGGAGAGGUCUACCCAUAGCCCAUUCUACAGAGCAGAACUGAGGCUCAGAUAUUGAGGUAGAUUAAAGAUGGCUGCCAGUUCAGUGCCACUUGUCCCGUUGAACUGUGAAGUCUUAUCCCCCUCCUUGGGUCUGCACCAGCCUUGAUGACUUGCUCACUACAAUGUGGUAGAAGUGAUGGUGCAUGACUUCCAAGGUUAGAUCAGAAGAAGCCUUGAAGUUCCUGCCUUGGUCUCUUGAAACAACUUACCGUGUAAGAAGUCUGACACCCUGAGACCGCCAUGUUGGCACAGUUAUGGGUGGAUGCUCCAGUAGAUGGAUCCAGCUGAGCCCAGCCCUCCAGCCAUUCCCACCCCCAAACCAUGGGUGAAACUGUCUUGGACCCUCCAGUCCAGCCCACUCAACAUCUAAAUACCACAGACUGACCUCAGCUGAUACCAUCACCCAGUUAAAAUGUGCCUGAAACUGACCCACAAAAUCAUGAGAUAAACUAAAAUGGUUGUUGUCCUAAGCCACUAAGAUAAUAGAGCAGAUAUAUAUGCACUUAACACUC
rnacentral:lncRNA from 1 species